rnacentral:rRNA from 1 species
UAGCGGCGGACGGGUGAGUAAUGCUUAGGAAUCUGCCUAUUAGUGGGGGGACAACAUUCCGAAAGGAAUGCUAAUACCGCAUACGUCCUACGGGAGAAAGCAGGGGAUCUUCGGACCUUGCGCUAAUAGAUGAGCCUAAGUCGGAUUAGCUAGUUGGUGGGGUAAAGGCCUACCAAGGCGACGAUCUGUAGCGGGUCUGAGAGGAUGAUCCGCCACACUGGGACUGAGACACGGCCCAGACUCCUACGGGAGGCAGCAGUGGGGAAUAUUGGACAAUGGGGGGAACCCUGAUCCAGCCAUGCCGCGUGUGUGAAGAAGGCCUUAUGGUUGUAAAGCACUUUAAGCGAGGAGGAGGCUACUGAGACUAAUACUCUUGGAUAGUGGACGUUACUCGCAGAAUAAGCACCGGCUAACUCUGUGCCAGCAGCCGCGGUAAUACAGAGGGUGCGAGCGUUAAUCGGAUUUACUGGGCGUAAAGCGUGCGUAGGCGGCUUUUUAAGUCGGAUGUGAAAUCCCCGAGCUUAACUUGGGAAUUGCAUUCGAUACUGGGAAGCUAGAGUAUGGGAGAGGAUGGUAGAAUUCCAGGUGUAGCGGUGAAAUGCGUAGAGAUCUGGAGGAAUACCGAUGGCGAAGGCAGCCAUCUGGCCUAAUACUGACGCUGAGGUACGAAAGCAUGGGGAGCAAACAGGAUUAGAUACCCUGGUAGUCCAUGCCGUAAACGAUGUCUACUAGCCGUUGGGGCCUUUGAGGCUUUAGUGGCGCAGCUAACGCGAUAAGUAGACCGCCUGGGGAGUACGGUCGCAAGACUAAAACUCAAAUGAAUUGACGGGGGCCCGCACAAGCGGUGGAGCAUGUGGUUUAAUUCGAUGCAACGCGAAGAACCUUACCUGGCCUUGACAUACUAGAAACUUUCCAGAGAUGGAUUGGUGCCUUCGGGAAUCUAGAUACAGGUGCUGCAUGGCUGUCGUCAG